AUUGCUAAUUGUUAUAUCCACAAAUUGAGCAUCAAUUCAUUUUCUUUAUUGAAGAUAAAUUUUUUUGUUGACUAAUUGUUACAUCUAAAAAUUAAUUCUCAAUUCAAUCUUAUAAUACUUAGAGUUAUAUAAAUUAAAGUAAUUUAAUUUUUAAGUAAAAUUAAAAUUAUAAUUGACUACUUGUUACAUACAAAUCGUGUCACAAUUCAAUAUUAUACUCAUAAUUAUAUAAUUUGAAAUAAUUUAAUUUUUUAAUUAAAGUCAACAUAUUUAUAUUGACGAAUUGUUACCUGCACAAAUUGGGUCUCAAUUCAAUCUUAUGUUACUUAAGAGUUAUAUAAGUAGAAGCAAUUCAAGUUUUCAAUUACAAUCAAACAUUUGAAUUGUUUCACCAAAAAAAAAUAUUUGAUUCGACUAACUGUUGCGUCCACAAAUUGAGUCUUAAUACAAAUUUUCAGUUGAAGAUAAAUUUUGUAUAUACUAAUUGUUAUAUCCACAAAUUGAGUCUCAAUUCAAUCAUAUAUAUUUAGAGCUAUAUAAAUUGAAGCAAUUCAAUAUUUUUUAAUUAAAGUCAAAUAUUAGAGUUGACUAAUUGUUCUAUCCAUAAAUUAAGCAUCAAUUCAUUUUUUCAGUUGAAGUCAAAUUUUCAGCUUACUAAUUGUUACAUCCACAAAUUGACUCCUAAUUCAUUCUUAUAAUACUUAGAGUUAUACAAAUUGAAAUAAUUCAAUUUUUCAAUUUAUGCCAAACAUUUAUGUCAAAGUUUGACCCAUGAUUAUCAUAUUCUUAUAUAUGUCUUACCUUUCUAUUUUGUUUUCAAUAAUUUUAUGCAUUCUAUGUUAGUUUUAUAAUUUUUAUUAAUAUUUUAAAUGUCACAUUAUUUGUCCAAAUAAGCACUCGGUUAUUAGUUUUACGGUUAUUUCAUAUGUUGUAUUUUUUUAAAUAUUUUUAUUCAAAAAUUAUAUUUAAUUUAUUUGAUAUUUUAUUUAGAUUUCAUAUAUAUAUAUAUAUAUAUAUAUAUAUAUAUAUAUAUAUAAAUAUAAAUUAUCUUCCUAUUCUGGGUGCUUGUUACAUCUAGGGCGGCCUAGUCUUGGAUCGUGACACCCUUACAACUCCUUAUGAUUCAAUUGUGUGAUAUUUGUGUGAAAAAUAAAAAAGAAAUCUGCUAGCACAAUUAAAAUUUGAGAUAUGUGAUUGAUUAUGUUUGGCCUGAUAAUGCAUUUGUAGUAGAAGUAUUUAGUAGGCACAAACAAGCCAAGUGUAUUUACUUGAUCUAAAAAUUCAUGGCUUGUGUCAAAAUUAUCAUGAUGUACUCAAAGUCUUUUAUAAUGUAGAUGAGAACACAUGUCCUACCCAUUGAAAAAAUUGAUAUUACUAAAUCUACCUUAAAAACUGAGUUUAUUGUGUCGACUUAACCUGCUGAAGAAGAGGAUUGUUUGAGAAAUUUAUUAUUUUGAAUAUCUUAUUUUUGAAACUAACUCCUUCUAUUUUGAUUCAUUGUGAUAACAUCGAAUUUAUUGAUAGAGUAUCAACCAUUAUUGUAAUGGUAAAUUCAGACGAUAAGAGGAAAACACAAUAUUGUAGAUCAUUUUUGUCAAUGGUAUACCAUUAAUAUUAAUUAUGUUAAAUCUUGUUAUAAUCUUGUCGAUUUAGAUCAAGGUCUUGGCAACGUAAAAGGUCUGAAGCACAUCAAAAGAGAUAUGCUUAAACCUAUAAAAAUCCAUGAGUCAGAUAUGAAGAAACCUAACUUGAGAACUAGAUCCAAUAACUAGGUUCAAUGCAAAGAAUGAAUCAUAUGACGAGUUAUUAUUAAAUGCACUAAUGUUUAAUCCCUCCCUAUGAUGUGGGUGCAUUUCUUCCUGUAAUGAUUUGUGAAGUUUGACUUUAAAAAAAAACUCUUAAUGUAUGUAGCUCAUAUAGGUGGGAGUUAAACUUAUAGAGCACUGUUGAUAGAUUUCACUUAUGUAUGUGUAGAAGUAGGUCGCUUCCUAUGAUAACUAGGCUUAUUGUCAAAAACAAAUAAAAAUUAGGAUAACAUAAGGUCGUAUUGCUGGCCAUUAAAGCUUGUGUCAAUAUCUUGAUUAUUGUGUGUAAAUAAAGAUACUUUAUUUCCCUUAAGUAGCCAUAAUUCAAGUUUAAGACCACCACUGACUUUGAAGUAAAGAUUACUGUUUUACUGUCACGACUCAAAAAUAAAGCCAUGAUGGAACUUGUUGCGACCCCGCCUGGGCAAGUAAGUCAGCCACCAAAAAGGAAAGAAAAAGCACACAAUUAAUGAAACUAACAAGACGAGACUUGUAGGACAAAGUCAGGACAUCACAAAAUAUAAAUAAAAUGGAAGUCUAAAAAAAUAACAUAAAUCACCCAAAAUUCUAAUGUCAUAAUGUAAGAGUAUCUAAGUACAAUAUUCAAACUAAAAUACAUAAUCUGUCUUUAAUCCAAAAUAAAGACAAGGUAAAAGAUAGGAUGAGAUCUGAGAUUCGGCUUGAACACUAGAAUGAUCCAUACCUUGAAUCUGAUCAAACUCCCUUGAAAUCUCAAUCGCCAUGCAUAGUAAUCAAAUAAGUAUCUGCAUCAAAAGGGCAUAGUAGAAGUGAGUACAAUGAACUUGUACUCAGUAGAAAUCAUAAGCCAACUGAGCAAAGCAGAAAAUAAGAUAAGAAAAAAAAUUAUGAGCACGUCACCUAUAAGAAGAAAAAUCCCAAAUGGUAGCUCACACCAUCUCCACUAACUGUCCUAAUAUAUACACAAACAUAAAAGCAACAAAGUUAUAAACAAAGAAUAUACUAAAACUAAACACAAGCCAAGAGAAACUAAAAAAAUCAUGAAAGAUGAUUAUGCAAUUCAAUAAAAUACAAUGAGUAUGGGAAGAAUGCUGAGAGUUAUCACAUGACUUUCUAUAUACACCUACGAAGCACGCAGAUCCCAAGACAGGACCCAUAGGGGGUACACAAUCCAUAUACUGUAUCUCAUAUCUCAAAUCUCAAUCCACCUCUUCGUCUCGUGUUCACAAAGUGGGGUUUUAUGAAAAUGUCUCAUUUUCUUUCAAAAAUAAUGUCUCAUUUUCUUUCAAAAAUAGUCUUCCUCAAUGGUACCAGUAUCUCAUAAAUGUAUAUGUAUAGAAUGAGGAUGUAAUGCUCAAAAUCAAAUCAAUAUAAAGAUAUCUAGUCCAUCCAACACGCAUGUAAGUGACACAAAAACUUAACUUAGUAUGUACAUAGUUCAUGAUUAUCAACUCUAAUUAGGCACCACUAGAAUAAAUAUGCAUUUAAGACAUCAUUAGUAUCAUAUCAACUCCUAACUUGGGCAUUUAUAUCUUGAUAAAGGAAACCAAUGCUCAAUAUGGCCUAUAAAUAACAAUUCAGGCUACCGUACGAGCAUUAUAUAGGAGCAAAUUCAAUCCUUAUUCCUAGCAAUGAUUCCCAAAAAAGAAAAACCUCGCUAGACUGAGGCCCAUUGCUAUGGGCACUACACUAUAUAAAAGAAUGACUAAGGCAAUUGCCAAUAGUUUCUACUGAAAGACAUGCUGGCUCUUUAAAAAGGGCGCCCUCCUAAUCUCAUUUUGAUAGGAAAAGAUAUUGAUAAUUAUCCCAAGGAGGCUUACUAAGCUAAUAGAUAUCUAGAAUAAAUCUAUUUAAAUGCACAUAUAAGGUCAAUGAUGUCAAAUAAAGGCCCUAUACAGGCAUCACGCAAUAUUAGAUCUCACAAGUUAACAACAAUAGAAUAUAAGCCCUACAUAGGUACAGAUCAGUAAUAAUAUUCUCAAAAUAUAAAUUUCGCAUUUAUUUUUCCCAACCCAUAACAUGCUUUACUUAUUUAUUAACUACCCAACUCAAUAUGAAAGAAGUUAAGACAUAACCUGCCCCGAGAUGAUGAAAUUCAAGCCUAAAGUUCUUCAACACAAAGAUUUCCCUUUUUGAACGGCCUGAGAAUCAAUUACAACAUUCAAAUAUAGCAUCUACACAAUAAUGAAAGUCGAUGAUACCCACAUCGCCUAUAUUUGAGUUGGGUUCAAAAUGGGUUUAAAAAUAAACAGGGUAUUAAUUUUUUUUUUUUCAAAAUAAAUUCUCUAAGGUUAAAGGAAUCUAUAGUUGAAAAACCAUGUAAAAUGAGUUUAAAAUGAGGUCCAAAUUAAAGAAAAACUAUUUUUAAGCUUUACCAGUAAAAAUCUCAAAAUCCCAUUUCAAAAUAAUGAUUAACAAGUAUUUUCGAAGAUUAAUCAAUGGAAACUAAUGGGGAUAUGAGUUUAGAGGUUACCCACAUGAAACACGAUGAAGAAACCCACAAAAAUUAUCUUUUCCAAAGCUUGCGGUUUAAAAAAUAGAUAAAAAUUGCAAAAUUAAGGCUUAAAACUGUUCUGUGAAUAGUGCCUUGCUAACAUGCUAAACCCUUCGCGUUCACGAUGAUCAACUUUGACUAGCCAAAAGUUUGGCCUUCGAGAUAGCCUUGGUGCAUUAAUAAUGAAGGGUAAUUUCCUUCUCUGUGUUCAUGGCCAAGGUCUUGUAUUCGCGAAGAAGACUCCAUGCACCAGAUAUUAGCCAUGCACCAACUCAAUUUUCAUGGUUCUGAAUCCUUCGAAUGGAUCCUUAUAAUUCAUUAGGGAAUUGAUAAAAAUAAAACAUAUAUGCUACCAGGCUAUAUUUGAUGUUCCAAACUCAAUGGUGAUUUUGAAUUUUCUAAAAAAAUAUUUUUUUAAUAAAUUAACCCUUGGGGUCCAUUUUGGCAUUUUUAAAAAUGAAUUGUCAAAAUGCAACCUAAAGGUUUCAAACCCGAACCAGCUCUUCUACUAAUCCAAAUUUGAUAUUUUGGACCUGAUGAAAAUGUCCAACUUGCAUCUGACACUCAGAACAACAAAUGUUGAGCAAAGUCAAUUAUAUGAUUUUUAAAGUCUUUAAAAACCAUAAACUCAAUCAAAUCAUUCCCAAUUGCCUUGUGAAUCGUGCCAACCAUCCCCACAUCCCAAAGUCAACAUAUAGUCACUAUGGAGAAGGGAAAAAUGAUCAAAAUAUAUUAAAAUAAGAUUUCAUAAGUCAGUUCAUUACAUUUAUUUAGUGAAAGUUCAAUGUAGAACACACCUUCAUUAUGAAUAAUAGUCUUCCUUCAAUUAAAUUGAUGAAAUACUCUCUUAUUUUAUUAUUAAAAUAAGUUUAGAAAUGUUGGUAGUUAUACAUGUUUAUAUUAAAUUAAAAUAUUAAGUGUGUAUGUUAGUGGGUAUAAAUUGUGGCAGAAGGUAACCAUUAGUUUUUUAUUACUUCUAUAACAUCUACCUCAUCAUGCCUUGUAACUCAUGUGACAUCUAAGCCACGCAUCUACCCACUUUACCACCCAUAUUCAUCCUGUUCAUUACGAAAAAGAAUUCUAAGAGGUCCUUUAUAUUUAAGUACCUGGAUUUGUUCAUCUUUUUGAAUUAAUCAGGUUAACUGUCUAAUUACAUUGAAAUCUUAGAUUGAGAAGCAUUAGCUAUUUUAGAAAAAUAUCUCUGAGAACCUUGGGGGUGAUAAACUAACUAAUGUUUAUCAAGAUGUUUGGCUAAGUCAACCUUAAGGAAUAUAUGUUUGUAUACUUGAAGACAAAUGGAAAGAUUUGAUCAGUAUUAACAGGUAAUUUAUUGUUAUAAUAUAUAUAUAUAUAUAUAUAUAUAUAUAUAUAUAUAUAUAUAUAUAAUAUACUGUAAUAGAAGUGUGAGUGAAAAUAGCGGUAUUAGCAUAGUUGUUUCAGUGUGUCUUUUAAAUGAUGUUUGGGGACAAUUUAGUAUUUUAGCACCUUUUGAAGAUGAGUUCUACUCUCUCCUAACAAACACAUGUCCUCCAUGUGCCACCCAUUAUAGUUAUUUAUUUCUUUUCUAAAGGCUACACCCAGUAACCUAGAUGACCAUUCACUUUUAUCCUCCCUAUGUGCCGCCUUUGAUCCGUAUCACCCCCAUCUCUGCUGUAAAUGCUGCCAUAAUAGGAUUUUUGCUCCGAUGAAUCAAAUUCAUAUCCAUGGUCACCUACAAUUAGAGAUUUUGGAAUCCUAAUAUUCCAUAGAUUCAUGGCACUUGGACCCAUGGGGCGUGAGUGAAGGUGUGAGUUGAGGUUUCAAAGUUGAAAAGUGAAGUCUGAUUCCCAUGAAGCAACCCAUGAUCGAUGAAUCCAACCCACGACUCGUUAGUUGGAGUCGUGAGUCAAGUACUGAAGCUUUAGGAUUAGUUUUGAUUUUCACGAGUCAAAUCAUGACUCGUGGAUCUAAUCCACGACCCAACCCACGAGUCGUAGGUGCUACAGACCUGUUUCUCUUACACAAUUUAGGAUAUGAUUUAUUUUUCAUCUAUAAACAAUCCUAUACAGUUCUAUGCUUAUGUUACACGCUCUAUAUACUUUCUUUUUACAUUAUUUUGAGUUUUGAGAUACAUUAUUGAUCUUGAAAUCAUUGAUAUUGAUUUUUAAGAUUUUUUAAUCAAUUUGAGAUUUUGGUUUUUCAUUUUA